rnacentral:rRNA from 1 species
UACGUAGGGUGCAAGCGUUAAUCGGAAUUACUGGGCGUAAAGCGUGCGCAGGCGGUUUUGUAAGUCUGACGUGAAAUCCCCCGGGCUCAACCUGGGAAUUGCAUUUGUGACUGCACGGCUAGAGUGUGUCAGAGGGGAGGGUAAGUACUCACGUGUAGCAGUGAAAUGCGUAGAGAUGUGGAGGAAUACCGAUGGCGAAGGCAGCCCCCUGGGAUAACACUGACGCUCAUGCACGAAAGCGUGGGGAGCAAACAGG